rnacentral:rRNA from 1 species
UACAGAGGGGGCAAGCGUUAUUCGGAAUUAUUGGGCGUAAAGGGCGCGUAGGCGGCCUGGCAAGUGGAAGGUGAAAUCCCUCGGCUUAACCGAGGAACUGCCCUCCAAACUGCUUGGCUUGAGUCCGGGAGAGGUGAGUGGAAUUCCCAGUGUAGCGGUGAAAUGCGUAGAUAUUGGGAGGAACACCAGUGGCGAAGGCGGCUCACUGGAUCGGAACUGACGCUGAGGCGCGAAAGCGUGGGGAGCAAACGGG